rnacentral:tRNA from 1 species
GCUAUCGUAGCUUAAUUUAAAGUUUAAUAUUGAAGAUAUUAGGAUGGGGCCUAGGAUCCCCCGAAGGCA